rnacentral:sRNA from 1 species
GAGCAUGGUAGCCACGACGCGCGGCAGC